AACAUAAAUGUGUGUAGUGUUAGACAGUGUGUGAUAUUUAAUUAAUUAUUGACAACUUUUAACAAUGGAUCUCUAGGCUCUUGCAUCGAUGAAGAACGCAGCAAAGUGCGAAAUGUGAUGCGAAUUGCACGAAUCUGUGAGUCAUCUAAUCUUUGAACGCGAAUGGCACUGUUACGCAAGUAGCAGUAUGUCUGUUUGAGAAUCGCAAACACGAUCAACUCUAGUUAGAGUUGGCAUUGACCUCAUGCGCUGUAAAAGAGCAUUUGGUUUGAAUGGAUCAAGUUGAUGGGCUCCCCGGCGAUGCUCAAUGUGUGCUAGCGAGACAGUCGUCCCGAUCUCACAUUAGUGGUAUUGUUGCAGAGCUCUAAUCACAGCUUGCUAACUAACAUUAUAUCUAUUACGAUCUCAAAUCAGGCAAGAUUACCCGCUGAACUUAAGCAUAUCAAUAAGCGGAGGAA
rnacentral:rRNA from 1 species